GACGAACGCUGGCGGCGUGCUUAACACAUGCAAGUCGAGCGGUAAGGCCCUUUCGGGGGUACACGAGCGGCGAACGGGUGAGUAACACGUGGGUGACCUGCCCUCAGCUCUGGGAUAAGCCUGGGAAACCGGGUCUAAUACUGGAUAUGACUCCAUGACGCAUGUUGUGGGGUGGAAAGCCUUGUGCGGCUGAGGAUGGGCCCGCGGCCUAUCAGCUUGUUGGUGGGGUGAGGCCUACCAAGGCGACGACGGGUAGCCGGCCUGAGAGGGCGACCGGCCACACUGGGACUGAGACACGGCCCAGACUCCUACGGGAGGCAGCAGUGGGGAAUCUUGCGCAAUGGGCGAAAGCCUGACGCAGCGACGCCGCGUGAGGGAUGACGGCCUGGUGUAC
rnacentral:rRNA from 1 species